GGGAGAUGUCGACUUGGUAAGUUGUGCCCUUGAGGCGUGGCUUGCCGGAGCUAACGCGUUAAGUCGACCGCCUGGGGAGUACGGCCGCAAGGUUAAAACUCAAAUGAAUUGACGGGGGCCCGCACAAGCGGUGGAGCAUGUGGUUUAAUUCGAUGCAACGCGAAGAACCUUACCUACUCUUGACAUCCACGGAAUUCGCUAGAGAUAGCUUAGUGCCUUCGGGAACCGUGAGACAGGUGCUGCAUGGCUGUCGUCAGCUCGUGUUGUGAAAUGUUGGGUUAAGUCCCGCAACGAGCGCAACCCUUAUCCUUUGUUGCCAGCACGUAAUGGUGGGAACUCAAAGGAGACUGCCGGUGAUAAACCGGAGGAAGGUGGGGAUGACGUCAAGUCAUCAUGGCCCUUACGAGUAGGGCUACACACGUGCUACAAUGGCAUAUACAAAGAGAAGCAAACUCGCGAGAGCAAGCGGACCUCAUAAAGUAUGUCGUAGUCCGGAUUGGAGUCUGCAACUCGACUCCAUGAAGUCGGAAUCGCUAGUAAUCGUAGAUCAGAAUGCUACGGUGAAUACGUUCCCGGGCCUUGUACACACCGCCCGUCACACCAUGGGAGUGGGUUGCAAAAGAAGUAGGUAGCUUAACCUUCGGGAGGGCGCUUACCACUUUGUGAUUCAUGACUGGGGUGAAGUCGUAACAAGGUAACCGUAGGGUUU
rnacentral:rRNA from 1 species